CCCAGACUCCUACGGGAGGCAGCAGUGGGGAAUAUUGCACAAUGGGGGAAACCCUGAUGCAGCAACGCCGCGUGAGUGAAGAAGUAUUUCGGUAUGUAAAGCUCUAUCAGCAGGGAAGAAAAUGACGGUACCUGAGUAAGAAGCCCCGGCUAACUACGUGCCAGCAGCCGCGGUAAUACGUAGGGGGCAAGCGUUAUCCGGAUUUACUGGGUGUAAAGGGAGCGUAGACGGCGAUGCAAGUCUGAAGUGAAAGCCCGGGGCUCAACCCCGGGACUGCUUUGGAAACUGUAUGGCUGGAGUACUGGAGAGGCAAGCGGAAUUCCUAGUGUAGCGGUGAAAUGCGUAGAUAUCAGGAGGAACACCAGUGGCGAAGGCGGCUUACUGGACUGUAACUGACGUUGAGGCUCGAAAGCGUGGGGAGCAAACAGGAUUAGAUACCCGAGUAAA
rnacentral:rRNA from 1 species